AACGACUUGAAACAAGUCAGGAAAAAAAUAAUAGAAGAUGAGGUCAAACAGAAAAUCAGAAACUUAAACGUGUUGGGCCUUGGAGACCAUGGUUCUGGAAGGAAAGGUACAAGGAGCUGACAUGAACCUGAUUUUUAACCUGAAGCAGACAGAGUUGGGACCAGCUGGCCUGCAGUCCUGUGAGCAAGAAAUCGAUGUGCAUACUCAUGAGUAAACCAUAAACAUUUGCUGUUAUAACCCAGGAAGCUUUGGGAGUUGAUUUUUAUGUGGUGUUAUGGCAACAAUUGUUGAUGAAUGUGGGUAUACAGUAUUGGAAGUUCUCAUGUGUCUUUGAUGGCCAGCCUCUCAGUGCUUACAGAGCUCCUCAGCCUCACCAGAUAUUUCCCACUUGAAUAAUGAAGUUGUAUGGUUGGGAAUAGACAUUUUGGCUAUUUGGGUCAAUAGGUUUAGGACCUUUGGAGGAUUCAAGACUGGUAGAAAACCACAGCAUGGUCUAAGAUGCAGGUGUUCAUGCCUGCAGAAGCCCAUGAUUAGACCCAACUGGAGGAAGUUUGGAGCUUCUCUCAGACAUGUAAGAAUUGUUCUGAAGAAUCUGCAUCUUGUUGGGUGAAGGACUUCAGAAUGUGCAAUAAAAAUGCAAUAGUCUUGGACCUAUGUAACUGGAAGGAACUGGUGGACAAGCUCUUACUGCUUCUCCAGGUUCUCACAAGAAAGCAGGCAUGGAUUCCUUUUGCACAGCUCCUCCAGGCUUUCUGGGCCCUGUCAUUCCUUCUUCUAUCUUCUGGGUUGAGCAACAUGCAAUCUCCCCUUGUGCAGAAGCCCAAAUAGCUACUGAAAAUGUGUCCUCUCUGACUUUCCCCAUUUCUUGAACUCUGAGAGACUUUUUCUAGUAUCAGUUCUGAGGAGCAUUGCUGUUUUCCUUCCUAUCAUCUGGAAGACCUAGACUUUAAAACUCAAAACCUGAGAAAAACUUCCUUUUUUUUCUCUCUUUUGUCUGGAUCAUCACUACCUUGAAAUACUAAAUUAGCAAAGUCCUAACUAGAAACUGAAUUGGCUAAAGAGUCAAGGAGCAACAGGUAAUUCCAAGAAAAACAACAGCAAACUUACAUCAGUUAACAUUUCAAAGCUAUUUUCCUUUGCAAUUUUGUGUAUCUGUUUUUAUGGAAUGCAAGAGAUAAUAGGCUAAAUGCUAUUUUGCAUAUGUGUUACAUUGGAUUUCUCACAUAUUCUACUACUUAACUCAAGAUGUUGAGUAAAUAAAUGAGUUAAUAAACUGGAAUUUCUAUAUCAGCUCUUGGUUCUAGUUAUGUUUCGUUUGUUUUGGAUUUUUUUUCUUUUUGAAUGCUUAUUCACUGGCCCAGCUGUAUUUAUGCCUAGAUUAACCAGAUACAUUGCCA
rnacentral:lncRNA from 10 species